GAUGAACGCUGGCGGCGUGCCUAAUACAUGCAAGUCGAGCGAACAGACGAGGAGCUUGCUCCUCUGACGUUAGCGGCGGACGGGUGAGUAACACGUGGAUAACCUACCUAUAAGACUGGGAUAACUUCGGGAAACCGGAGCUAAUACCGGAUAAUAUAUUGAACCGCAUGGUUCAAUAGUGAAAGACGGUUUUGCUGUCACUUAUAGAUGGAUCCGCGCCGCAUUAGCUAGUUGGUAAGGUAACGGCUUACCAAGGCGACGAUGCGUAGCCGACCUGAGAGGGUGAUCGGCCACACAGGAGCUGGGCCACGGUCCAGACUCCUACGGGAGGCAGAAGUAGCGAAUCUUCCGCAAUGGGCGAAAGACUGACGGAGGAGCGCCGCGUGGGUGAUGAAGGUCUUCGGAUCGUAAAACUCUGUUAUUAGGGAAGACCAAAUGUGUAAGUAACGAUGCACGUCUUGACGGUACCUAAUCAGAAAGCCACGGCUAACUACGUG
rnacentral:rRNA from 1 species